rnacentral:rRNA from 1 species
CCAGCAAGCAGGGGUUGGAGAGCAGGUUGCGUCCCUUGCUUGGUCGCGUGGUGAGUGGGGUGGACUGAGGAGGGGAGGAAGGGGUGCGGAAUUAAGGCGAGACUUGCCUAAGGAGUGUGGGAGGGAUUGAGAAUUGGAAGGCAAUGGGCGUGAUCUUGCUCGGGAUUACCGGUAAUCUCGUGGUCUUUGUCGUCGAUAUUCAGGCUGCUGCGGGACGCAGCAAAGCUGGAAGGGAGGUAGGAUAUUUUCCAGGGGAGGGGAGUGUUGAGAGAGGAACGGGCUUGGGGAGAGGAAGCCCUCGAAUAUGGGGAUGGGUAGCAGUAUUUAACGAGUGGUCUCAACGGACUGUGACGACGACAAGCACCUUCCAAGGCCGCUCAAGCUCGGCCUCGUGCUCAAGAAGCAACAGACUAAAGCCGGCCUCAACGCGGGUUGAGGCCGCUGUAGAUCGUCGGUGGAUUUCCGCUUGGUCCUCGGCUGCAGCACAGGACCUCUGAGUGGGGCUGAAGGAGAGGGAGCAGGUGAAGAGCUGGUAACGGCCUCUGGCGGCGCAGCGAAGUACAGACUCGGUGGCAGUGGCCGGUAGAGGUAGAGGCUAACGCUGCUCACGCUUCGGCUUAAGAUGCUCCUCCAUCCUGGCACAACGACGCUCAGUCUUCUACUACUCACUGCUCUAUCCCGAUGCCUCGAUGUGAGUUGAUCGGAACACCGCUAACUACGUGAGUCCUAAUAAUAAUACAAUAAACGAAGGCGAUACAUUGAGUCGG